rnacentral:rRNA from 1 species
CUUGCCAGAGAUGGCUUGGYGCYYGAAAGGGAGCCGUAACACAGGUGCUGCAUGGCUGUCSUCAGCUCGUGUCGUGAGAUGUUGGGUUAAGUCCCGCAACGAGCGCAACCCUUGUCAUUAGUUGCCAUCAUUUAGUUGGGCACUCUAAUGAGACUGCCGGUGACAAACCGGAGGAAGGUGGGGAUGACGUCAAGUCCUCAUGGCCCUUAUGAGCAGGGCUUCACACGUCAUACAAUGGUCGGUACAGAGGGUUGCCAAACCGCGAGGUGGAGCUAAUCUCUUAAAGCCGAUCGUAGUCCGGAUUGGAGUCUGCAACUCGACUCCAUGAAGUCGGAAUCGCUAGUAAUCGCAGGUCAGCAUACUGCGGUGAAUACGUUCCCGGGCCUUGUACACACCGCCCGUCACACCAUGGGAGUGGAAUCCGCCAGAAGUGGGUAGGGUAACCGUAAGGAGCCCGCUUACCACGGUAGGUUUCAUGACUGGGGU